AAUUUAUUUGUUAUUAUUUUUGUUAUUAUAUUUUAUAAAUAUGCUGCCUGCCAGUCAGUUAAGAACAGAACCAGUUAAGGACAGUACCACUGAUAGACAAAAACGUUUGCCAGCAAUUUAAAUAAUUUUGUGUUGCUACAGUAUCAAAAGCAGCUUUAAGAAGCAUAAGGAUAUCUACUGUAUACUGUAGCUCCUGAGUCUGAGGCAAUAAAUAAAUCAUUCAAAACCCUGAAAAGAGCAGUCUCAGUGCUAUGAUUUAAGUGGAAACCAGACUGAAAUGGCUCAAACAAGUCAUUGGCUAUCAUAUAAGACUGUAUUUGAUGUGCAACCACACAUCUAAGGUUUUUUCUAUCUAACUCCUGAGAUAGAAAUGGUCAAUCAUUUUGUCAGAAUCCAAGCCUGGUGUUUUUCUAUAGGAGUAAUUGACACAGUCUUUAAGGCAUUAAGGAAUGAAUACACUGUGAUUUACCUAAAACAUGAUACACUGGAAUAAUCUACUGUAUGUUGUACAUAGCACUGAUUUAUAAGAAAACAAUGACAUCCUCUUUUUCUAAAUGGUUUAUGACUUUAUUUCAAAUUUAAAGGAUCCAUUGCCCACUAUCAGUGCCUAUACAGGGAGCAAUGUGCACACUGUAAACAACAAAAAGGCUAGGAACCUCAUUUUGUAAUGAGCAGCUCUUGUUUUAAGUGAUAUUAUACAUGUCAUGAAAUGGAGAAGUAUUUGAAUGUAUUUUUAAAGUAGUUCAUGCCUCUCCUUAGUGCUGCCAUUAGUCUACCACUUGUUUUUGUGUGUAUGUGUGCCUCCUGCAGUUUUGUAUACUAACAAUGGCUGACAGUGUUACAGUAUAUUAUCUUUUUUUAACAGAUCCACUAAAAGAGGUCACCAGGAAACAUUCCUUACUAGCAAAAAACAACAUGGAUAAGACAAGCAUGAGGGAAGCAAAAGACAAUACUGGAAAGUAAGUGCUCUUUAAUCUGUGUACUAAGAUACAGUAUAAGAAACACGUUUCUGUGUAUAAUUACAAAAAACAAUUACACCUCUUUUCAAUCAUAUGUUCUGAAUUAUUUUCUGCUUUCUUUCCUCUUUUUUUCUCAUGAGGAUGUGAUUAGUAUAAAUGUACUGAUUAACUGAUUCUAAGCUGUAAGUGAGGUGUUUCCUCCUUGGUUGAUAUCCAUGCGCAUUUCAAAAUCCCUUAUUUCCAGUAAAUCUAUAGUUUAUAGUUAGAUUAGAAAGAUUAUAGAAAGAUUAUCCCCACAGGCUUGGGCAUUGGCUAGGAUUCAAAACCAGACACAAGGCUAUCCCAAUGAAUAACUAAUGCCUCACAUUGAAGAGGUUACAGUAUGCAAUCACAAGUUAUUUUCAGAGUAAUUCAAAA
rnacentral:lncRNA from 1 species